AUGAACUUAGCUUGCUAAGUUUGAUGGCGACCGGCGCACGGGUGAGUAACACGUAUCCAACCUGCCGAUAACUCGGGGAUAGCCUUUCGAAAGAAAGAUUAAUACCUGAUGGUAUGAUGGGAUUGCAUGAUAGCAUCAUUAAAGAUUCAUCGGUGUACGAUGGGGAUGCGUUCCAUUAGUUUGUUGGCGGGGUAACGGCCCACCAAGACUACGAUGGAUAGGGGUUCUGAGAGGAAGGUCCCCACAUUGGAACUGAGACACGGUCCAAACUCC
rnacentral:rRNA from 1 species